rnacentral:rRNA from 1 species
GGCUAACUCCGUGCCAGCAGCCGCGGUAAUACGGAGGGUGCAAGCGUUAUCCGGAUUCACUGGGUUUAAAGGGUGCGUAGGUGGGUUGGUAAGUCAGUGGUGAAAUCCCCGAGCUUAACUUGGGAACUGCCAUUGAUACUAUUAAUCUUGAAUACGGUGGAGGUCGACGGAAUAUGUCAUGUAGCGGUGAAAUGCUUAGAUAUGACAUAGAACACCAAUUGCGAAGGCAGUUGGCUACGCCAGUAUUGACACUGAGGCACGAAAGCGUGGGGAUCAAACAGGAUUAGAUACCCUGGUAGUCCACGCCCUAAACUAUGGAUACUCGACAUACGCGAUACACUGUGUGUGUCUGAGCGAAAGCAUUAAGUAUCCCACCUGGGAAGUACGAUCGCAAGAUUGAAACUUAAAGGAAUUGACGGUGUAGCGGUGAAAUGCUUAGAUAUCGUCAAGAACACCGAUAGCGAAGGCAGCUUACCAAGGAGUAACUGACGCUGAGGCACGAAAGUGCGGGGAUCAAACAGGAUUAGAUACCCUGGUAGUCCGCACAGUAAACGAUGAUUACUCGAUGUUGGCGAUACACAGCCAGCGUCUUAGCGAAAGCGAUAAGUAAUCCACCUGGGGAGUACGCCCGCAAGGGUGAAACUCAAAGGAAUUGACG